CAGUCGCCACGGUAAUACGUAGGGUGCAAGCGUUAUCCGGAAUUAUUGGGCGUAAAGAGCUCGUAGGCGGUUUGUCGCGUCUGCUGUGAAAACUGGAGGCUCAACCUCCAGCCUGCAGUGGGUACGGGCAAACUAGAGUGCGGUAGGGGAGAUUGGAAUUCCUGGUGUAGCGGUGGAAUGCGCAGAUAUCAGGAGGAACACCGAUGGCGAAGGCAGAUCUCUGGGCCGUAACUGACGCUGAGGAGCGAAAGCAUGGGGAGCGAACAGGAUUAGAUACCCGCGUAGUCCCUGUCUCUUAUAC
rnacentral:rRNA from 1 species